UGUCGCAGAAGUCAUAUCCUGGAC
rnacentral:piRNA from 1 species